rnacentral:rRNA from 1 species
CCUACGGGAGGCAGCAGUGAGGAAUAUUGGUCAAUGGACGAGAGUCUGAACCAGCCAAGUAGCGUGAAGGAUGACUGCCCUAUGGGUUGUAAACUUCUUUUAUAUGGGAAUAAAACGUUCCACGUGUGGGAUUUUGUAUGUACCAUAUGACUAAGGAUCGGCUAACUCCGUGCCAGCAGCCGCGGUAAUACGGAGGAUCCGAGCGUUAUCCGGAUUUAUUGGGUUUAAAGGGAGCGUAGGUGGAUUGUUAAGUUAGUUGUGAAAGUUUGCGGCUCAACCGUAAAAUUGCAGUUGAAACUGGCAGUCUUGAGUACAGUAGAGGUGGGCGGAAUUCGUGGUGUAGCGGUGAAAUGCUUAGAUAUCACGAAGAACUCCGAUUGCGAAGGCAGUUCACUGGACUGCAACUGACACUGAGGCUCGAAAGUGUGGGUAUCAAACAGGAUUAGAUACCCCUGUAGUC